rnacentral:tRNA from 1 species
UAGAACGUAGCUAAACAGAAAAGCAUCUCCCUUACACUGAGAAGACAUUCGUGCAAAUCGAAUCGUUUUAA